GCUUACGGUCAUACUGUCCUGAAUAUGCCCGAUCUCAUCUAAUCUCUAAAGUUAAGCAGAGCCAGGUUUAGUUAGUACUUCUUCGGGAACACCAGGUGCUCUAAGAC
rnacentral:rRNA from 1 species